GCGAGGGUGGCGGAAUUGGUAGACGCAGCAGGUUUAGGUCCUGCCGCCGUUAGGUGUGGGGGUUCGAGUCCCCCCUCUCGCACCA
rnacentral:tRNA from 2 species